rnacentral:rRNA from 1 species
GCACAAGCAGUGGAGUAUGUGGUUUAAUUCGAAGCAACGCGAAGAACCUUACCAGGUCUUGACAUCCGAUGCAUAGCACAGAGAUGUGUGAAAUCCUUCGGGACAUCGAGACAGGUGGUGCAUGGUUGUCGUCAGCUCGUGUCGUGAGAUGUUGGGUUAAGUCCCGCAACGAGCGCAACCCUUGUCAUUAGUUGCUACGUAAGAGCACUCUAAUGAGACUGCCGUUGAUAAAA